GAAUAUUGGUCAAUGGGCGCAAGCCUGAACCAGCCAUGCCGCGUGCAGGAAGACGGUCCUAUGGAUUGUAAACUGCUUUUAUUUAGGAAUAAACCCCGAGUCGUGUAUUCGGGCUGAAGGUACUAAAUGAAUAAGCACCGGCUAACUCCGUGCCAGCAGCCGCGGUAAUACGGGGGGUGCAAGCGUUAUCCGGAAUCAUUGGGCUUAAAGGGUCCGCAGGCGGGCGUAUAAGUCAGUGGUGAAAGCCUACAGCUUAACUGUAGAACUGCCAUUGAUACUGUAUGUCUUGAAUGUGGUCGAAGUGGGCGGAAUAUGUCAUGUAGCGGUGAAAUGCUUAGAUAUGACAUAGAACACCGAUAGCGAAGGCAGCUCACUAGGCCAUUAUUGACGCUCAUGGACGAAAGCGUGGGGAGCAAACAGG
rnacentral:rRNA from 1 species